rnacentral:rRNA from 1 species
AGUGAACGCUGGCGGUAGGCCUAACACAUGCAAGUCGAACGGCAGCACAGAGGAGCUUGCUCCUUGGGUGGCGAAUGGCGGACGGGUGAGGAAUACAUCGGAAUCUACUCUGUCGUGGGGGAUAACGUAGGGAAACUUACGCUAAUACCGCAUACGACCUACGGGUGAAAGCAGGGGACCUUCGGGCCUUGCGCGAUUGAAUGAGCCGAUGUCGGAUUAGCUAGUUGGCGGGGUAAAGGCCCACCAAGGCGACGAUCCGUAGCUGGUCUGAGAGGAUGAUCAGCCACACUGGAACUGAGACACGGUCCAGACUCCUACGGGAGGCAGCAGUGGGGAAUAUUGGGCAAUGGGCGCGAGCCUGAUCCAGCCAUACCGCGUGGGUGAAGAAGGCCUUCGGGUUGUAAAGCCCUUUUGUUGGGAAAGAAAUCCAGCUGGCUAAUACCCGGUUGGGAUGAUGGUACCCAAAGAAUAAGCACCGGCUAACUUCGUGCCAGCCGCCGCAGUAA